AGAGAACAAGAAGUUGUUUUAUAGAGAACAUGAAGGAGAAUACGUAUCUCCAUAAUCCGUGACUACACAAGCAAACAAAAUAGUAGACAAGACUACACUACUCAAACAAGCAAAAGAGUAGACAAGACUACACAACACAAGACAACAAAAGAGUAGACAACACUACACAACACAAGUCCGUGAAACUGAGUAUCAAACAUCCAUGACUCUUCAAGUCCGUGACUCUUCCACAGUACACACGUCCGUGAC
rnacentral:lncRNA from 1 species